AGAGUUUGAUCAUGGCUCAGAAUGAACGCUGGCGGCGUGCUUAACACAUGCAAGUCGCACGAGAAUUCUUCUGCUUGCAGAAGAUAGUAAAGUGGCGCACGGGUGAGUAAUGCGUGGGCAAUCUUCCCUUGAAUCGGGGAUAACAUCGCGAAAGCGUUGCUAAUACCGGAUAACAUCCAUUGAUCUGCGGAUGAAUGGAUCAAAGGUGGCCUCUACAUGUAAGCUACUGUUUGAGGAUGAGCCUGCGUACCAUUAGCUUGUUGGCGGGGUAACGGCCCACCAAGGCGACGAUGGUUAGCUGGUCUGAGAGGAUGAUCAGCCACACUGGAACUGACACACGGUCCAGACUCCUACGGGAGGCAGCAGUGAGGAAUUUUGCGCAAUGGGGGAAACCCUGACGCAGCAACGCCGCGUGAGCGAUGAAGGCCUUCGGGUCGUAAAGCUCUGUCAAGUGGGAAGAACCUGCAUUGGGUUAACAUCUCAGUGCACUGACGGUACCACUGAAGGAAGCACCGGCUAACUCCGUGCCAGCAGCCGCGGUAAUACGGAGGGUGCGAGCGUUAUUCGGAAUUAUUGGGCGUAAAGGGCGCGUAGGCGGCCGUUUAAGUCAGGUGUGAAAGCCCGGGGCUUAACCCCGGAAGUGCAUUUGAUACUGAGCGGCUUGAGUAUGGGAGAGGGAAGUGGAAUUCCUGGUGUAGAGGUGAAAUUCGUAGAUAUCAGGAGGAACACCGGUGGCGAAGGCGACUUCCUGGACCAAUACUGACGCUGAGGCGCGAAGGCGUGGGGAUCAAACAGGAUUAGAUACCCUGAUAGUCCACGCAGUAAACGGUGAUCACUAGGUGUAGCGGGUAUUGACCCCUGCUGUGCCGCAGCUAACGCAUUAAGUGAUCCGCCUGGGGAGUACGAUCGCAAGGUUAAAACUCAAAUGAAUUGACGG
rnacentral:rRNA from 1 species